rnacentral:rRNA from 1 species
UACGUAGGUGACAAGCGUUGUCCGGAUUUACUGGGCGUAAAGAGCGCGCAGGCGGUCGAUCAAGUCGAGUGUGAAAGCCCCCGGCUCAACUGGGGAGGGUCAUUCGAUACUGAUCGACUCGAAGGCAGGAGAGGGUAGUGGAAUUCCCGGUGUAGUGGUGAAAUGCGUAGAUAUCGGGAGGAACACCAGUGGCGAAGGCGACUACCUGGCCUGUUCUUGACGCUGAGGCGCGAAAGCUAGGGGAG